AAAAACAUCGCCUCUUGACUAUAAUAAGAGGUCCAGCCUGCCCAGUGAAAAUUCAACGGCCGCGGUACCCUAACCGCGCAAAGGUAGCAUAAUCACUUGUUCCUUAAAUAGGGACCAGUAUCAACGGCACCACGAGAGUCGCACUGUCUCCUUCCUCUAAUCAGUGAAACUGAUCUUCCCGUGAAGAAGCGGGAAUAAAACUAUAAGACGAGAAGACCCCAUGGAGCUUUAAACCUUCAACAACUUAAUACUAUACUUUCCCCAUAAUUAUAAGCCUUGCCUAACGGUUUUAGGUUGGGGCGACCGCGGAGUAAAAACCAACCUCCAUGACGAAAUAGAACUAAAUCUUUAUCCAAGAGCCACCCCUCUAAGAAUUAGAACACUAACGCACACGACCCGAUAAUCGAUCAACGAACCAAGUUACCCUGGGGAUAACAGCGCAAUCUACUUCAAGAGCCCAUAUCGACAAGUAGGCUUACGACCUCGAUGUUGGAUCAGGGUAUCCUAGUGGUGCAGCCGCUACUAAUGGUUCGUUUGUUCAACGAUUAAAACCCUACGUGAUC
rnacentral:rRNA from 1 species